AUGGACGAAAGUCUGACCGAGCAACGCCGCGUGAGUGAAGAAGGUUUUCGGAUCGUAAAGCUCUGUUGUAAGAGAAGAACGGGUGUGAGAGUGGAAAGUUCACACUGUGACGGUAUCUUACCAGAAAGGGACGGCUAACUACGUGCCAGCAGCCGCGGUAAUACGUAGGUCCCGAGCGUUGUCCGGAUUUAUUGGGCGUAAAGCGAGCGCAGGCGGUUAAAUAAGUCUGAAGUUAAAGGCUGUGGCUUAACCAUAUUACGCUUUGGAAACUGUUUAACUUGAGUGCACAAGGGGAUGAGUGGAAUUACGUAUCUAUC
rnacentral:rRNA from 1 species